AUCGCUUCUCGGCCUUUUGGCUAAGAUCAAGUGUAGUAAAAGCUUUUUUUUUUUUUAAUGUUUAUUUAUUUUUUUGAGAGAGAGAGAGUGAGCGGGAAAAGGGCAGAGAGAGGGAGACACAGAAUCGGAAGCAGGCUCCAGGCUCCGAGCUGUCUGCACAGAGCCCGAUGCGGGGCUCGAACC